rnacentral:rRNA from 1 species
AUACGUAGGUGGCAAGCGUUGUCCGGAUUUACUGGGCGUAAAGAGUAUGUAGGCGGAUAUUUAAGUCAGAUGUGAAAUUCCCGGGCUUAACCUGGGAGCUACAUUUGAUACUGGAUAUCUAGAGUGCGGGAGAGGAAAGUGGAAUUCCUAGUGUAGCGGUGAAAUGCGUAGAGAUUACCGGAAGAACACCAGUGGCGAAGGCGACUUUCUGGACCGUAACUGACGCUGAGAUACGAAAGCGUGGGGAGC